UACGUAGGGACCAAGCGUUGUUCGGAUUUACUGGGCGUAAAGGGCGCGUAGGCGGCUUAACAAGUCACUUGUGAAAUCUCCGGGCUUAACUCGGAACGGCCAAGUGAAACUGUCAAGCUAGAGUGCAGAAGGGGCAAUCGGAAUUCUUGGUGUAGCGGUGAAAUGCGUAGAUAUCAGGAGGAACACCGGUGGCGAAGGCGGUUCUCUGGGCCUUACCUGACGCUGAGGAGCGAAAGCAUGGGGAGCAAACAGG
rnacentral:rRNA from 1 species